GACGAACGCUGGCGGCGUGCUUAACACAUGCAAGUCGAACGGAAAGGCCCUGCUUUUGUGGGGUGCUCGAGUGGCUAACGGGUGAGUAACACGUGAGUAACCUGCCCUUUACUUUGGGAUAACUUCAGUAAACUUGGGCUAAUACCUGAUAUUAGCUCCUGCUGCAUGGUGGGGGUUGGAAAGUUUCGGCGGUUGGGGAUGGACUCGCGGCUUAUCAGCUUGUUGGUGGGGUAGUGGCUUACCAAGGCUUUGACGGGUAGCCGGCCUGAGAGGGUGACCGGCGACAUUGGGAAUGAGAUACGGCCCAGACUCCUACGGGAGGCAGCAGUGGGGAAUAUUGCACAAUGGGCGGAAGCCUGAUGCAGCAACGCCGCGUGCGGGAUGACGGCCUUCGGGUUGUAAACCGCUUUCGCCUGUGACGAAGCGUGAGUGACGGUAAUGGGUAAAGAAGCACCGGCUAACUACGUG
rnacentral:rRNA from 1 species